AGCAUCAUAGUUCAGUGGUUAGAGCCCUGGCCUUGCAAGUCAGGGGCCAUGAGUUUGAACUUCACUUGAGCCUG
rnacentral:tRNA from 1 species